rnacentral:rRNA from 1 species
UACAGAGGUGGCAAGCGUUGUUCGGAAUUACUGGGCGUAAAGGGCGCGUAGGCGGCCCGUCAAGUCCCGUGUGAAAGCCCCCGGCUCAACCGGGGAACUGCACGGGAAACUAGCAGGCUUGAGUUCGGGAGAGGGAAGCGGAAUUUCGGGUGUAGCGGUGAAAUGCGUAGAUAUCUGGAGGAAUACCGGUGGCGAAGGCGGCAUCCUGGACCAUUACUGACGCUGAGGCGCGAAAGCUAGGGGAGCGAAUGGG